UACGUAAAAGACUAGUGUUAUUCAUCUUUAAUAGGUUUAAAGGGUCCGUAGACGGUAAAAUUCCAUCUGAAAUAGGAUAUGUUUUUACUAGAGUUUUAUAUGAGGAGGCGAGUAUUCAUGGAGGAGAGUUGAAAUUUUGUGAUCCCAUGACGACUGGUAAGGACGAAAGCAACCUUUUAUCUAAUAACUGACGUUGAGGGACGAAGGCUUGGGUCGCGAACAGGG
rnacentral:rRNA from 1 species